ACCCCACUAUGCUCAGCCCUAAACAUAAAUAAUUCACACAACGAAAUUAUCUGCCAGAGAACUACUAGCAACAGCCUAAAACUCAAAGGACUUGGCGGUGCUUUACAUCCCUCUAGAGGAGCCUGUUCUAUAAUCGAUAAACCCCGAUAAACCUCACCACUUCUAGCUAAAUCAGUCUAUAUACCGCCAUCUUCAGCAAACA
rnacentral:rRNA from 1 species